ACUUCUGUGAUGAUUUAACAGUAUGACUUUCGUUCUUCUGAAGCCAAUUCAUCUGUUCUGAGAAGA